rnacentral:rRNA from 1 species
GAGUCCCGCUGAACUUAAGCAUAUCAAUAAGCGGAGGAAAAGAAACCAACAGGGAUGCCCUAGUAACGGCGAGUGAAGCGGCAACAGCUCAAAUUUGAAAUCUGGCCUCACGGUCCGAAUUGUAAUUUGUAGAGGAUGUUUCUGGCGACGUGUCUUCCGAGUUCCCUGGAACGGGACGCCAUAGAGGGUGAGAGCCCCGUCCGGUCGUACACCUAGCCUCUGUGAAACUCCUUCGACGAGUCGAGUAGUUUGGGAAUGCUGCUCUAAAUGGGAGGUAUACGUCUUCUAAAGCUAAAUACCGGCCAGAGACCGAUAGCGCACAAGUAGAGUGAUCGAAAGAUGAAAAGCACUUUGAAAAGAGGGUUAAAUAGUACGUGAAAUUGCUGAAAGGGAAGCGCUUAUGACCAGACUUGGGCUCGGUGAAUCAUCCGGCGUUCUCGCCGGUGCACUUUGCCGUCCCAGGCCAGCAUCAGUUCGCGCCGGGGGAUAAAGGUUUCGGGAAUGUAGCUCCCUCGGGAGUGUUAUAGCCCGUUGCGUAAUACCCUGGCGUGGACUGAGGUCCGCGCUCUGCAAGGAUGCUGGCGUAAUGGUCAUCAGUGACCCGUCUUGAAACACGGACCAAGGAGUCGUCUUCGUAUGCGAGUGUUCGGGUGUCAAACCCCUACGCGUAAUGAAAGUGAACGUAGGAGAGAGCUUCGGCGCAUCUCCGACCGAUCCUGAUGUUCUCGGAUGGAUUUGAGUAAGAGCAUACGGGGCCGGACCCGAAAGAAGGUGAACUAUGCCUGUAUAGGGUGAAGCCAGAGGAAACUCUGGUGGAGGCUCGCAGCGGUUCUGACGUGCAAAUCGAUCGUCAAAUAUGGGCAUGGGGCGAAAGACUAAUCGAACAUCUAAGGGGG